rnacentral:ribozyme from 1 species
ACAUUGCUGGAUAUUUAUCCCACGGUAAGUUUUUUCCUUUCUUCUUCUUCUUUUUCUUUUAUCCUUUUACUCACUAU